rfam:Myotis brandtii contig190947, whole genome shotgun sequence.
GCCAGCAUAGCUCAGUGGUUGAGCACCUACCUAUGAACCAGGAGGUCAAGGUUCCAUUCCUGGUCAGGGCA